AUUGGUAUUGGCGCUGUGUCUAUGUGAGGUUAACUCUGCCAGACUAGGCCACACACAACCGCACAUCUAUAGUCGUCAAGACAAUGAAUGCGUUACAGUGAAUUCCCCGAACUACUACAGCCCUCAGUAUGUAACAGAUGUUUCAGGAGUCACUCGUCUCGACUUUGAAGUUAAAGCAGACAGCCACGCAAUUAUUAGUUUAUCA